UGGCGGGCGCCUGUAGUCCCAGCUACUCGGGAGGCUGAGGUGGGAGAAUGGCGGGAACCCGGGAGGCGGAGUUUGCAGUGAGCCGAGAUUGCGCCACUGCACUCCAGCCUGGGCGACAGAGCGAGACUAUGUAUCAAAAAAAAAAAUGCGUUGUGCGCCGGGCUGAAACCGGCAUAAAACUGGGCAGAGCUAUGCAGGCAGCUACCCUCCCCCCCACCCCUACCCCCACCCCCACCCCCCUCGUGCCCGCUCCGCUACGUAUUCCCGUAUUCCCGGGUGCCUGGCAACAGUGAUGUGCUUUAGGCCUUUUUUAGAAUGCAUACAAACGGAACCAUAUCUAAGUGAUGUCUGGCUUUUUUAACUUAGCACAAUGCUUUGAGAUUCAUACUAUUGUGUUUAAUUAGUAAUUCAUUUGUGUUAUUGUUGAAUGGUAGUCUAUCAUAUGGGUAAGCCACAGUUUAUUUAUCCAUUCACCAAUUGAUGGGCCUGUCGGUUGUAGGGAACAGGAGAAAACUUCCCCUUUGCCCUCUGAAGGGUCACCGAAAAUCAACUGACAAGGCUGGGCCUGGGCUCCUGCCUGUAACCCCAGCCCUUUUUUAGCCCAAGGCAGGAGGAUCUCUUCUUUGUGAAGUGUGUAUUCAAAUCUUUUGACCAUUUAUUUAUUAGCUAGCUUGACUUUUUAUCUAAGAGUUCUUUAUAUAUUAUUGAGUUCUUUAUAUGUUUCAUACCAUGUUCUUUAUUAGCUAUACGUUUUGAAAUGUUUUCUACCUGUCUGUGGCUUGCCUCUUCAUUUUAAGUGUCUUUUGAAGCACUGAAGUUUUCAAUUUUGAUGUAAUUUAUCCAUUUUUUUCUUUUACAUAGUUCAUACCUUUUUUGUCCUACUUAAGACAUUUUUGCUAAAUUCAAGAUUAUAAGAUUUCCUCAUUUGUUACCUUCUGGAAGUUUUAUAAUUGUUGGUCUUCAUUAUAUUUAAAAUGAAUUAUUCUUUAUAGUAUCGAUAGAUGCUGGAGGCAGAUAAGGGAGGGUCCCUGGAGAAUCUCUGACCUGCCUCACAAGCUUUUGUGCAGCUGAGGAAGCCUGCCCAGGGUCUUGUCUGGGCAUGCCCACAAGGGACUUGGGGGCCCACUGCACCAGGAGAGUGGGGUGCAGCCAGAGGGAAUUCAGCCUUAUGCAGCAGGGAUGAGCAAGAAGUCUUCAGCUUGUGUGUGUUGGCCUGUUAUUCAGUCUGUGAGCUGGGAGCCUGUUGGCAGGACCCUCCUUGUUUUUUUGCUAAGAGCUUUUAAUAAAUGCCACUCUUCACCUUGCAAUGUAUUCACAUGCCUAAUUGUUCCUGGUCAUGAGACAAGAACCUGGAUUUUAGCUGAGCUAAGGAGCAAAAAUUCCUGCAUCAGUAUGAGAUUCAUUUCACUACCAGGUCAAAGACACAAUCAAAAGCCCGACAAAUGGAAUUUGUGGAAUUGGAACAAAAAGCUUUUCUUCCUAGGCACAAGAACAUCAAAGCAUAAAUCCUUCAGGUAUCAGCAAUGACAUCACUUAAGAAUUUCUCAGAAUCUUUGGCACCACCCCAGGCCUACCGGAUCAGAAUCUGAAUUUUUUAACAAGAUCUCAGAUCUAGUCAAGAGUCCAGUCUGAUUUCUCUUUAUUGGGACUACCACCCAAAGCAGAAUGAGGAUGAUGUAACCACGCCCAGUGACUUCUGGAUACCACUGACUCUAGGCAUUUUGCAGAUCCUGAAUUCCAGCAGAAUGGCUGACACCAACUGGUCUGAAGACCCUCACCAAGGAACUGACUCAGUGCAGGAAUGCAGUUUCUUCAUCUCCCUAUCCCUGACUUCACCCCUCACUUCUCAACCAAUCAGUGAUCACCACACUUUAGGCCAUCACCUGUGUCCAGACCCCUUAAAAACCCCAUCUGCAAACCUCUUGAAGAGGCAUAUUUGAGGUUUCCUCUCAUCUCCUCAUUUGGUUUCCCUACAAUUAUUAAAUUCUUUCUCUGCUGCAACUCCUACUUUUUCAGUGUAUUGGUCUGUUACUGUGCAACAGGAAAUCAGACCUGGUGGUCCUAUAGUAAGAGUUCACAGAAUAUGAUAUACAAAGUGAUCUGUGAUAUACAAAAACCGGCACAAUCUCACUCUUAAUAAGAAAAAUUCAACUUAAAAUUAAAAGUUUUUUUUCCUCAGAAUGGCAAAGAUCAAAGUUUGAUAACAUGGUUGGAAAGUAUGCAGACCGAUAUUCUCAUAUUCAUUGAUGAAGUGUAAAUUGAUACAUCCUUUGUCAGUACGGACAGGUUUCCCAACUCUAGGGGUGAAAUUUAUACAGACUACAGUGUGAAUGACAACCACUUCAAAUUGGGUGAUAUGAUGACCUUGACUCUGUGGAGGGUCAUUUGGCAAAAUAUCUCAAAAUAAAAAUGUACAUACAAUUUGA
rnacentral:lncRNA from 1 species